UACGGGGGGGGCAAGCGUUGUUCGGAAUUACUGGGCGUAAAGGGCGCGUAGGCGGUUCGAUAAGUCAGCUGUGAAAACCAUGGGCUUAACUCAUGGCCUGCAGUUGAGACUGUCGGGCUGGAGUGUGGGAGAGGAGAGUGGAAGUUCCUGGUGUAGCGGUGAAAUGCGUAGAUAUCAGGAGGAACACCGGUGGCGAAAGCGGCGCGCUGGACCUCUUCUGACGCGUGAGGC
rnacentral:rRNA from 1 species